rnacentral:rRNA from 1 species
CGGACGGGUGAGUAAUGUCUGGGAAACUGCCCGAUGGGAGGGGGUAACUACUGGAAACGGUAGCUAAUACCGCAUAACGUCGCAAGACCAAAGGAGGGGACCUUAGGGCCUCUUGCCAUCGGAUGUGCCCAGAUGGGAUUAGCUAGUAGGUGGGGUAACGGCUCACCUAGGCGACGAUCCCUAGCUGGUCUGAGAGGAUGACCAGCCACACUGGAACUGAGACACGGUCCAG